CUAAAGAAAAAUAGAGAUAGCAAAUUUAUGAUUGGAUGAUGAGGUUAUCUUCAGUGUAGAAAUGUUGUCUGGCUCCCUGGAUCAAUAUCAGAAGCGGUUGUGACCACCAAUACUUGCAACAAUUGCACUCCUGGUCCUGUUUUCUUAUAAACAUCCAAAAUCGAGUAAAACCAGAGCUGUGAUCAAAACCGAAAAUGCUUUUGGAAUCUUCAAAUAUUUUUACUACAGUAACACAAAGCAAUUGGCAAGUGUUAGAAUCCAAAAAAAUUCCCAAAUUGGAAUAGGAACGAAAUUCAAAGAGAAAGCAAAACCCAGUUUACCUGUUCCAACCCAAACAUCGAUUAGGGCGACCGAACCCUGACCACCCAGAAGGGGGUUUUGCAGGAUACUCUUUUGAGCUCCAUAUGCCAUCCUGAAAACCCUAAUUCAUAGAGGAUAAAUAGUGAAGGGAUUAGUGAGGAGAAGGGGGGCUACAAUUCGGAAAAAAAUCGGAGGCGACAUUAAAAGAUACCAAACAGAAAAAAACCUAAACCGGAGAAUCAAAGAUAAACCUGGUUUGAAGAGUUGAAAGAGUUUGAAGCUUCAUCAUUGCCGUCUUUACCGCCGGAGGUGAGCGCUUUUUUUUUAAUUAAAAGAUACCAAACAGAAAAAAACCUAAACCGGAGAAUCAAAGAUAAACCUGGUUUGAAGAGUUGAAAGAGUUUGAAGCUUCAUCAUUGCCGUCUUUACCGCCGGAGGUGAGCGCUUUUUUUUUUGCUUCAGCCAUUGAUUUCUUUUAUGAUUCGGAAGCGAUUAAGAGAAACACACGUUUGAGAGAGGGUUAUGAUGUGAGAGACGUGAGUUGGAGAGAACGAUUUUGUGAGUAAGGUUGAGAGUGAUUGUGAGACGGAGUGAUUGAGGAAGGUUGAGGACGAGCGAAUGAUGGAGAGAUUGAGAGAGCAUUGUGAGAUUGGGAACGAGAUUGAGAGAUUGAGAGAGGGAGAGUCUGUCCCUUCGUGAACGCCAAUUCAU
rnacentral:lncRNA from 1 species